rnacentral:sRNA from 1 species
GGUACGCGGACAAGAUGGCGGCGGCAGCAGUCGACAGCGCGAUGGAGGUGGUGCCGGCGCUGGCGGAGGAGGCCGCGCCGGAGGUAGCGGGCCUCAGCUGCCUCGUCAACCUGCCGGGUGAGGUGCUGGAGUACAUCCUGUGCUGCGGCUCGCUGACGGCCGCCGACAUCGGCCGUGUCUCCAGCACCUGCCGGCGGCUGCGCGAGCUGUGCCAGAGCAGCGGGAAGGUGUGGAAGGAGCAGUUCCGGGUGAGGUGGCCUUCCCUUAUGAAACACUACAGCCCCACCGACUACGUCAAUUGGUUGGAAGAGUAUAAAGUUCGGCAAAAAGCUGGGUUAGAAGCGCGGAAGAUUGUAGCCUCGUUCUCAAAGAGGUUCUUUUCAGAGCACGUUCUACCCAGUAGUGAACUGCAUUAUUUGUUAGGUUCCUUGUAAUGGCUUCAGUGACAUUGAGAACCUUGAAGGACCAGAGAUUUUUUUUGAGGAUGAACUGGUGUGUAUCCUAAAUAUGGAAGGAAG